rnacentral:rRNA from 1 species
GUGAAAGUGCGGGGCUCAACCCCGUAUGGCCAUAGAAACUGGUAGACUUGAGUGCAGGAGAGGGCAAUGGAAUUCCAUGUGUAGCGGUAAAAUGCGUAGAUAUAUGGAGGAACACCAGUGGCGAAGGCGGUUGCCUGGCCUGUAACUGACGCUGAAGCGCGAAAGCGUGGGGAGCAAAUAGGAUUAGAUACCCUAGUAGUCCACGCCGUAAACGAUGAAUACUAAGUGUUGGAGAAAUUCAGUGCUGCAGUUAACGCAAUAAGUAUUCCGCCUGGGGAGUAUGCACGCAAGUGUGAAACUCAAAGGAAUUGACGGGACCCCGCACAAGCGGUGGNAUUAUGUUGUUUAAUUCGACGCAACGCGAAGAACCUUACCUGGCCUUGACAUCCACGGAACUUUCCAGAGAUGGAUUGGUGCCUUCGGGAA